rnacentral:pre_miRNA from 1 species
ACACAAACCAUCUGGGGGUCUUGUUAAAAUGCAGGUUCUGAUGCAGUAAGACUGGGGUUGGCUUGAGAUUCUGCAUUUCUGACAAGCCCCCGGGUGAUGCCGAU